AGGAAUCUAACCAAUAGCAAUCACUGAGAAAAUCAUCAUCAGCAAUCGGGCCAAAAUCAACUUUCUCCUCUUCUACUACUAUUUGUUCAACUCUUU
ensembl:snoRNA K02B9.10 ncRNA